rnacentral:lncRNA from 1 species
GAAAAGGUGAAGUGAGGAUGGCGCAGGGAGUCGUAAGGUAUGUGCUGGACACCCUUCUGGAUAACAUCCCUACCAGGGGUUGGUUUGUGCAAGGAGGUUGUACUUCUACUCAACAAGAAACACCCCAAAGUCUUUGGAGUCCAACUAAAGGCAAAACAUUCCUGAAGUCCAGGAUCCAAUUGUUACAUCGGCAUCCUAAGAAGUGUGAACUAAGAGGUAUGAAGUAUUCAUUCUGAUUCUUUUUACUAUAAGUAAUGAGGAUUCUCAAUACCAUACGGCUGUUACAAUUAAGGAAAGCACGUAUCUUAUCCAAAGUCUUGCAGAUAUCCAUCACUGCCAAUAAGCAGGCUUUGCUGAGUAUGAGUAAUGCAACUUGUAACUCAUAGAGUUUGCAGCAGCCGUUACCAUUUCCCCACUUUAUGGAUGAGGCAAUGGAGUCACGGAGGAAUGAAGUGAUUUGCCCAAAGAGUGCACUGAGUCAAUAGCAGAGCUGCACACAGAACGCAGAAUUCCCAGCCUUAUCCAUCGCAGUCCUUAGAUAAUAUCAUUGUAUAAAGGCUCUAUCUUUGUAAAGACUUCAGUGCUAUAAUUACCCUCCCAGGACUCUCAUGGAAACAAGAUAUUUAUAACUCCAUUAAGCCAUUCCUAGUACUUUUAUGAUCAAAGUGAAAACAAUAAAUCACGUUGUGCCCAUCAGUCGCAUGCCCAAUGUCACUCAGAAUGGCCCCACGAUGAAAGCUUCUCCUUGGUUGCUUCAAUCCAACGCUCGCUAUCUUUUGAAUGCCUUUCCUGUGUCUAAUUCCCCAGUGGAGAGGGAAUAUAUUUUGCCGUGUGAUGAGCCAUGCAUUUAGAAUGUACCAAAUAACUGGCAAGGAUGCUUGCUGCCAAUGAAGCCUACUGUUUUAUGCUACAACUGUGCUUUUAAAAGAAAUACUUUUCCUGGAAGCCCUUCAUGUUUGCCAGUUUCACCUGAAAUGAUCAAAGCUACCUCAGCAUUUCCACUAAUCCUUAUCUAGCUCUAAAAUUACGAGACAGACACCAGGAGUGACUGUGAGCAGGUCAGCAGCUAGGGCAAUGGGACUGGCGCAGGGAAGUGCUUUAGCAUGUGCUUGAAUUGAAAUCCAUUCUCAUUCUGCAAAUCAAUGAAGUAUUUGCUGAAAGCAAAACACAUCUUUGAGUUUUGUUGGCACAAUGUUGAAGCACGACACAGAACUACAGCCUGUAGCUGCAUUUCUUUCUGAAAGGAAGUAAUUAUUUUUAGCUCACCUCUCAAUGGCCACAGCCCUAUCUUUUAGUUCCCAGUAAUCUGUUUGCAGGAGAUACACAAACCUCUGGUUUCUGUGACAAUCAGCAGCAUGGAAAAGGUCGGAUACCACCACUAAUGCCGAGAGAGACCACUCCAACUACUUGACUGCUAAGCACAGACAAGAGGCAGUCAGCGAGGCUCAUUAGAGGAAAGACAUAAAAGAAGCUGCAAUUACUCCGCGAGGCGGCUGCUGAUAUGAAGGGUUAUCUGCUCACUUGGCUGACUGGAGAGGAUUCACUUGCAGCAGUUCAACAAAUUUAAUAGAUGAUUUGAUGAGUUUUCUGCCAAAUGCUGUGUUUCCACUGAUUUAUCGAGGGUCCAGAUGAGGCCACAAAGAUGAUCAGAGGGCUGCAGCACCUCCCCUACAAAGACAGGCUGAGGGAGCUGGGCUUGUUCAGCCUGGAGGAGAGAAGGCUGCGGGUGACCUCAUUGCAGCCUUCCAGGACCUAAAGGGAGCCUACAAACAGGAGGGGAGAUAACAGCAGGACAAGGGGAAAUGGUUUGAAGUUGAAGGAGGGCAGAUUUAGGCUGGAUGUCAGGGGGAAGUUCUUUCCUAUGAGAGUGGUGAGGUGCUGAACAGCUGCCCAGAGAGGCUGUG